rnacentral:rRNA from 1 species
AGCGAACGCUGGCGGCAGGCUUAACACAUGCCAGUCGAGCGGGCAUCCUUGUGGUGUCCGCGGCAGACGGGUGAGUAACGCGUGGGAACGUGCCCUUCGGUUCGGAAUAACUCAGGGAAACUUGAGCUAAUACCGGAUACGUGCGAGAGCAGAAAGGUUUAUCUGCCGAAGGAUCGGCCCGCGUCUGAUUAGCUAGUUGGUGAGGUUAUGGCUCACCAAGGCGACGAUCAGUAGCUGGUCUGAGAGGAUGAUCAGCCACACUGGGACUGAGACACGGCCCAGACUCCUACGGGAGGCAGCAGUGGGGAAUAUUGGACAAUGGGGGCAACCCUGAUCCAGCCAUGCCGCGUGAGUGAUGACGGCCUUGGGGUUGUAAAGCUCUUUUCUCCGGGACGAUAAUGACGGUACCGGAGGAAUAAGCCCCGGCUAACUUCGUG